UUCCAGACUCCUACGGGAGGCAGCAGUGAGGAAUAUUGGUCAAUGGGCGCGAGCCUGAACCAGCCAAGUCGCGUGAGGGAAGACGGUCCUAUGGAUUGUAAACCUCUUUUGUCGGGGAGCAAAAGACGCCACGCGUGGCGUUCCGAGAGUACCCGAAGAAAAAGCAUCGGCUAACUCCGUGCCAGCAGCCGCGGUAAUACGGAGGAUGCGAGCGUUAUCCGGAUUUAUUGGGUUUAAAGGGUGCGCAGGCGGAAGAUUAGGUCAGCGGUAAAAUUGGGAGCCUCAACCUCUCCGAGCCGUUGAAACUGGUUUUCUUGAGUGAGCGAGAAGUAUGCGGAAUGCGUGGUGUAGCGGUGAAAUGCAUAGAUAUCGCGCAGAACCCCGAUUGCGAAGGCAGCGUGCCGUGCCGCCACUGACGCUGAGGCACGAAAGCGCGGGGAUCGAACAGGAUUAGAUACCCGGGUA
rnacentral:rRNA from 1 species